UUUUUUUUUAAAAAAAAAAGAUUAUCUAAAGCUGAAGAACUCCCCCCCUUAAACUAUACCUAUCAAAUAUUUACAAGUUAUUUUCUGUAUUUGAUUUUAAAAAAAAUAAUUAAUUACCAAUAAUUAAUUGAAUGUUUUCUUUUUUUUAAAAUUAAUUCAUAUAUUGUUAGAUACAAUAAAUAAUUGUUUAAAGCAUCAACCUGAUCAGAGAAUGCACAAGGGAGAUAUAGAGUU